AAUCGAUGAUGAGAAAAUUGGAUGUUUAGUGUUAUCUGAAAACCAAUGAUUACAAACACUAAUUACUGCCUUCCUUCUGAGAUU